rnacentral:rRNA from 1 species
AUGGCGCCCUCCACCACCACCGGUGCUGUCCCAGUCCCACGAUGUCCUGUUAUCUUCAACGGACAGAACUACAGGGACUGGGUGCAGCACAUGAAGCUGCACAUGAGGGGCCAGCUGGUCUGGGAGCACCUCUCUGGUGCUCUGCCUUGUCCCCUGCUGCCCACUCCUCCAGCUGAGUUGGCCUUCCCUGUUGAUGCCGAUGAAACCAAGCAACGUGAGAUGCUAGAUGCUUUUGAAGAGGCCACUGAAGAGUAUCAGAAUCAACACCACUUAUACAAGCAAUGGACAAAUGAUGAUGCUCGAGCCUCUUCUAUCUUGGUGAACAGCAUGGAUGUUGAUCUCACCAUGGAUGUGGUGGCCCUUACCACUGCAUAUCAGAUGUGGGAGCACCUUCGCCAUCGCUAUGAGUCUACAGGGGAUGCCAUGUAUCUCUCUGUUGUUCGUCAAGAGCAACAACUACAACAGGGAGAUGCUACUGUGGAUGAUUUCUACAAGGAGAUGUCGGCGGUGUGGCGCCAAUUGGACUCUCUGGGAGCUGAUGUUUGUCGCAGAUGUCAGUGUUGUGUGCGGCAACAAGCUAAGCUGGAGGUUCGUCGCCUCUACGACUUCCUCACUCGCCUCCGGCCGGAGUUCGAGCAGAGUCGUGCUCAGCUAUUGGCACGCCAUCCUCGGCUCUCUACUCUGGAGGCCCUUGCUGAGGUGCGAUCUGAGGAGGUGCGCCUACGGAGCACGGGCUUAUUGCCAUCCUCUUCAGCAGUCCUGGCUGCCCGCGUUCCACCACCGCUGCCUGGUGUGCCCUCUUCUACACAGGUGGCAGCAACCUCCACUAGUGCAAGCAGGAUGGUCACAUGA